ACAGCCAUACCAUGCUGAAUGUAUCGGUUCUCGUUAGAUCACCGAAGUCAAGCAUCAUUGGGCGCGGCCGGUACUUGGGUGGGUGACCACCUACCUGGUAACACCGCGUGCCGUU